UUUCACCACGGAGACCGUGCAGCCCUGCGGGGAGGCAGCGCGACUGUAAACAACGCUGCCGCUUGCAAGUCAGCGUACUGGCAACACAAUCGAAUUGCGGGGACCUCCUAAAGCUCGAGCUACUAAGUUGGGACCGAAAGGCCCUGAUGCCGUCAGAACGCUCGAGAUGCUACAAUGGACAAUCCGCAGCGAAGACCCUACCGCGCAAGCCACGGGGAUCGUUCACAGACUAAGUGAUUGUGGGUAGGCAACUACUUAAGAUAUAGUCGAGCCUGAGCCGAAAGGCUGAGGGUGCCACUGUCCGUAGGUGAACCUGCGGAAGGAUCAUUAAUAAACCUAGUCGUUCGCGUACAUAGGGGCAACCCUCGCGUGAUGUCAGCAAUACCUAGGUAACCCUUGAAUAAACUACCCUCGUUGCUUUGGCGGGCCGCCUCCCAGGCCAGCGGCUCCGGCUGCUGCGCGCCCGCCAGAGGACCACAACUCUUGUUUUUAGUGACGUCUGAGUACUAUAUAAUAGUUAAAACUUUCAACAACGGAUCUCUUGGUUCUGGCAUCGAUGAAGAACGCAGCGAAAUGCGAUAAGUAAUGUGAAUUGCAGAAUUCAGUGAAUCAUCGAAUCUUUGAACGCACAUUGCGCCCUUUGGUAUUCCGAAGGGCAUGCCUGUUCGAGCGUCAUUAUAACCACUCAAGCCUUCGCUUGGUCUUGGGGCUCGCGAUCCCGCGGCCCCUAAACUCAGUGGCGGUGCCUGUCGGCUCUACGCGUAGUAAUACUCCUCGCGUCUGGGUCCGGUAGGUUGCCUGCCAGCAACCCCCAAUUUUUACAGGUUGACCUCGGAUCAGGUAGGGAUACCCGCUGAACUUAA
rnacentral:rRNA from 1 species